GACGAACGCUGGCGGCGUGCCUAAUACAUGCAAGUCGAGCGAAGUUUUUCUGGUGCUUUCACUAUAAAGACUUAGCGUCGAACGGGUGAGUAACACGUAAAGAACCUGCCUCAUAGGCUGGGACAACUGUUGGAAACGAUAGCUAAUUCCGGAUAACAGUAUUUCUCGCAUGAGAGAUAUUUAACAGUUGUUUAUGCUAACACUAUGCGGUUGCUUUGUGUUGCAUUAGCUAGUUGGCGGGGUAAAGGCCCACCAAGGCGACGAUGCAUAGCCGACCUGAGAGGGUGAUCAGCCACACUGGAACUGAGACACGGUCCAGACUCCUACGGGAGGCAGCAGUAGGGAAUAUUCGGCAAUGGGCGAAAGCCUGACGCAGCAACGCCGCGUGAGUGAAGAAGGAUUUCGGUUCGUAAAGCUCUGUUGUUAGGGAAGAAAAGAUAUGUAGUAACAAUACAUGGAAGUGACGGUACCUAAAGAGAAAGCAACGGCUAACUACGUG
rnacentral:rRNA from 1 species